UCCACGGUCCGAGAAGUUUUUUCCCCCUGCAAAUUUUAACGUCAAAUGACGUCGCAAAAUUAACUAUCGCGAAAAAGGUGUGCGUGCAAACAGUGUACCAUCUGUACGCUAUCAAUCAUAAUUACACCGAGGCUGAGCGUGGAUAUGCUCCCUUGCUUUCGGAGAGGCAAGCCCACACCAUCAACUUGAGGAACUCAGAUGUAAACCUACAGUCCCCUCCCGGAUCAUCAGGAUCAUUAAACAGCUGUGGUGGUCCCUCCCCUGCUGGAGGAGCUCAGCUCAGCCAUCCCAGAAAUGAAGGAUGACGGAGAGAGGUGUUCUGGGAGUGGUGAGGGAGCCAGGUGAGGGAGCCAGGUUUGGAUGGAGCAAAAACCAGGACCGUCUCCGGCACUCCAGGACCGGGGCUGCCUAUCUGCCUACAAUCUGCCCUUAACGUGCGGUCCACUGAGAAGCUCUCCCACAUAACGGCGUAUCUGUAGCACCUUUAUAAGGACAGCUACCUGGUUACCUCGGGUCACCUGAGUUCUGUGAGAGAAGCAGACCCACUCUGACCUGGAGGUCCUGUGAUGGGACGUCGGAGGUCAUGUGCUGACAUGGCGACCUGAGCUGAGGAAACACCACGUUCUGCAGGAACCAACAACACAACUCUGACUGUAACCUGCCAUAACCAAUCAGAUAGCAGGAUUGUUCGGUGGAAGGCAAACUCACAAACAACUUCCCUCUCCAUCUGCUGGAGAGAUCUGCCGCCCGGUCAGGCAGAAAAUUAAAAUGUUUGUGUUUCUCUUUUUUCAUUCAAGGUCAUCUG